AACGCUAGCUACAGGCUUAACACAUGCAAGUCGAGGGGUACCAUAGUCAAAGCUUGCUUUGACUGAUGACGACCGGCGGAUGGGUGAGUAACACGUAUCCAACCUACCGUAUACACGGGGAUAGCCUUUCGAAAGAAAGAUUAAUACCCGAUGGUGUAAAGAGAUCCCCUGAUUUUUUUACUAAAGAUUUAUCGGUAUACGAUGGGGAUGCGUUCCAUUAGAUCGUUGGUAGGGUAACGGCCUACCAAGUCAACGAUGGAUAGGGGUUCUGAGAGGAAGAUCCCCCACAUUGGAACUGAGACACGGUCCAAACUCCUACGGGAGGCAGCAGUGAGGAAUCUUGGUCAAUGGGCGCAAGGCCUGAACCAGCCAAGUAGCGUGAAGGACGACGGCCCUAGGGGUUGUAAACUUCUUUUAUAAGGGAAUAAAGUUCGCCACGCGUGGUGUUUUGUAUGUACCUUAUGAAUAAGCAUCGGCUAAUUCCGUGCCAGCAGCCGCGGUAAUACGGAAGAUGCGAGCGUUAUCCGGAUUUAUUGGGUUUAAAGGGAGCGUAGGCGGGCUUUUAAGUCAGCGGUCAAAUGCCACGGCUCAACCGUGGCCAGCCGUUGAAACUGUAAGCCUUGAGUCUGCACAGGGCACAUGGAAUUCGUGGUGUAGCGGUGAAAUGCUUAGAUAUCACGAAGAACUCCGAUUG
rnacentral:rRNA from 1 species